AUUAAUCGUAUUUAGUUCAUAUUGAGAUAUUUAGUAGAUUGAAACCUGGGUAAUAAGACGAUUAUUUUAUUAUCUGUGUAGCACCAUCUCGAAAGAUUUUACGUAAUUUUUGUUUCAGGCUAGCCAGUAAAGUCUUGCCCAAUCUUUAAUUGAUUUUUUAUAGUAAUUUUGCAUCGAUUUCUUCAAAAUUAAGCUCAAUUUAGAUCAAUUUGAUCUUUUAGCCCAUAUUUAGCCGCAGCAAAGUCAGAAUUUUCUAAACGGACGAGCCUGGGGCAAGUUUUCCCCUGGAAAUAUCUCGCUUUUGCUGAACUUCUCCUUCAUCUUCAACAUGGGAAAUGGCAAACACGCUUGCAUACACAAGAAUUUUCGACUCGUUUUUCGAGCAUUUUUCACUUAAAAUCCUUUAUAACCCAUUGGAUUUUACCUUCCAUGACCAUUGAUCAUUCAAGAAAGUCUCCAAUUUGAAUAAACAAUCAAGGAACCAAUCUAUCGAUUCAUAAAAAAAGGAUUCAAAGUUGACAGAUGAAGCAAAAAAGACGAUGAACACAUGGAAAAAUUAAAAUUGAUAUCAACAUUACCAACCCAUUGGAACCCAUUUUCAAUUAAUAAUUUCUGGUCAACAAUUCAUCAUUCUGGUCAUUCAAAUCAAUCAUUAUCACCUUUAACAACCAUUAGUUGAUACAAAAAGUGAUAGCAACUUGAUAACAAUUAAUGGUUCUAGUGGUAUUAUUAUAUUUCACCAAGAAAACAAUUCUUGCAUUAACCUUUGAAAAUG